GCCUGCCCUGUGACUAUAUGUUUAACGGCCGCGGUAUUUUGACCGUGCGAAGGUAGCGCAAUCACUUGUCUCUUAAAUGGAGACCUGUAUGAAAGGCAUCACGAGGGCUUAGCUGUCUCCCCUUUAAAGUCAAUGAAAUUGAUCUCCCCGUGCAGAAGCGGGGAUACGCUCGUAAGACGAGAAGACCCUAUGGAGCUUAAGAUAUAAAGCGACCCAUGUCAAGCACCCCUUCAAAGGAGAUGAACAUAAUGAGCCUCGCCGAAAUAUCUUCGGUUGGGGCGACCGCGGGGAAAGACAAAACCCCCACAUGGACUGGGGCAACAUUUGGCCCUAAAACCUAGACCCACACGUCGAAUCAACAGUAUUUCUGACCACCAAAGAGCCGGCAAUGCCAAUCAACGGACCGAGUUACCCUAGGGAUAACAGCGCAAUCCCCUCCCAGAGCCCUUAUCGACAAGGGGGUUUACGACCUCGAUGUUGGAUCAGGACAUCCUAAUGGUGCAGCCGCUAUUAAGG
rnacentral:rRNA from 1 species